rnacentral:rRNA from 1 species
AGCAUAUCAAUAAGCGGAGGAAAAGAAACUAACCAGGAUUCCCCUAGUAACGGCGAGUGAAGCGGGAAUAGCCCAAAUUUUAAAUCGGCAUUUGUCGAAUUGUAAUUUAAAGAGAUGUAUACCGCGUCGCGACUUGGUAAAAGUCCCUUGGAAUGAGGCAUCGCAGAGGGUGAUAAUCCCGUAGCAUUGCCGAGUUUGCGUGCGCGUUGUGUUGCGUCUUCAAAGAGUCGAGUUGUUUGAGAUUGCAGCUCCAAAUGGGUGGUAAAUUCCAUCUAAGGCUAAAUAACGGCAAGAGACCGAUAGCGAACAAGUACCGUGAGGGAAAGAUGAAAAGAACUUUGAAAAGAGAGUUAAACAGUACGUGAAAUUGUUGAAAGGGAAACGAUUGAGGCCAGUCGUGCUUGCGAGAAAUCAAACAGCUUUGCAAUUCCAUGUGGACGGCAAUUCUGGUGCACUUUUUCGUUGGCUGGUUAGCAUCAGUUUUGUUUGUUGUAAAAUGGUGGUUGGAAUGUGACUCUUUCGGGAGUGUUAUUAGCCAACUUCAGAUGCAAUGAACGGGACUGAGGAUUGCGGCAAAUGCCUUUGGGGGGUACGUACCUGUUCUCUGAACGAUUCACAAAUGGGCGACAGCAUGCUGACGUCUGUUUGUUGGGUCUUCAACGGAAUAGAGUGUGUUAAAUUUGCCAAGGAUGCUGACAUAAUGGUCUUAAACGAC